rnacentral:rRNA from 1 species
AUAACAAUACAGGACUCUUUCGAGGCCCUGUAAUUGGAAUGAGUACACUUUAAAUUCUUUAACGAGGAUCUAUUGGAGGGCAAAUCUGGUACAGAGUGACUGACUCGUGCGUGCUGCAGCUGAAACUCCAC